UUGACAUGCUUGUUUUUUGUUUCCACGUCUAGAGUUUCUCCAGACAUUCACCUGGCCUAUAAACAUCUUGAUUUAGAAAUGUUAAGGAUAUCAUCAAACACAUGGACUAGACUUUCGCCAAGACCUCAUGGUGGCCAGUUUGUUCAGUAACAUACGUGAAUAUAGUAAACUAAAAAUAUGAUAGGGCAUGCUUGCUAAGAUGCACGUGUUCAUUCACUGUAAAAGAUGGUGUGUGCAUUUAUUAUGUUGGAGUAUUUACUACUGUGCUUAACCACACAUUAUUCUCAGGCUAAGAUUGGAUUGGCCACAUACCUUCGGACCUACCGGUGGAGGCAGUAUUCAACGACCUGCUCCGAUGCGUUAGUAGAGGACGUGGAUCCUAUUAUUCUUUCGGGUCAAGUUGACACUAACAGACGUCCGAACUGGUAUUUGGGCAGCCAUGUUGGCUUUUGUGUGAGAAACGUGACAUCCUGCAAAAUGGUGUGCUAUUUCAAUCUGAACGAGUUGCCCUGUGGGCGUAAGGAAGAAGGCAGUAACGUGUGCUACUGCCUGAGAAAUCUCACUGGGGUCUUAAAAGUCUUCCUUGAAAGCGCGUCGAAAAGAAAAAUGGUGAAUCAAUAUUAUUGUCUCUUCUGGGGCUCCCCGGAGAUAGAGCAAAGCAAUGGAAUUAAGAUAUCAGCAAAUAUCAUAGCCAGAGAUAGUGAGGAGUAUAAAGAGUGUCAAAAGAGUGAAAGAAACAUAGACACAUCCAGAAAUGGAGUGUCUGGACCAGUUUCUGUAAUGAAACCAGGCCACAUUUUAGCACCACUGAUUGCUUUCUGGCUCUUGAAACAUACCGCAGAAACUGCUUGGAAAUAAAGUCUGAAAUAGAAGAUUGGCGACACACAAACAUACCGCAGAAACUGCUUGGAAAUAAAGUCUGAAAUAGAACAUUGGCGACACACAAACAUACCGUAGAAACUGAUUGGAUCUAACGUGUGUGAUAGAACAUUGGCGACACACAAACACACCACAAAAACUAUUUGGAUCUAACGUUUUUGAUAGAACUUUGGCGACUCACAAAAAUACCCUUGUAUGAAUCUUUGAAAAGAAUUUUUGAAUGUAUAUAUAUAUAUAUAUAUAUAUAUGAGCUUUUGUUUAUAAAUGUGCAAAUUUACUAAACCACCAUUUUUUUCACCAAAAACGUAGAGUUUACAUUUGCUUUUCGACACUAUUUAUAUACAUAUAUACUGAUAGCAUGACACACCCGCUACGCCUGUUGAUGUGUUCCCACUGCCGGAACCUCCCAACCUUUUUGUUUUUUUUGUGCCACGUCUGAACGUUUUCCCUGGAUAAUUGUAUCUGUUACAACAAAACGAAACAGACCCCUCACUUUUCUUCUCUCUCUCUCUAGAACCUCCAUUUUUUAAUUAUUUUUUUUUCAACCAUCGCAUUUCAUUUUUUUCCACAAACUUUUGAAUUGAUUUGGGAUAUACAUCCGAGAAAAAUAAAAAAAUAAAGAUCUUUAUUUUUUUUAUAGCAGUGUUUCUCAACUUUGGGGGAAAAGGAGCAGUUAAUUACGUUGGACCCCUAACUCCAAGCGUUUUCUUGCAUUCUUAACUGCAGAAAUGCAUUUUCCUGACAUCUACAGCUCAUAAUUCAUCCUAUUAAAAACAAAGAAAGUUCAAAUUAAAUUAAAUAAAGUGUGGGCAAGGGCCGAUACUAAAAAAUGAGUCACAAUCUAGGCACAAGUAACGUAAGUAUAGCUUUAUAAGGUGUAAUUAUCGUAAUAUUAUAUUUGUAAUAAGCGAGACCUUUUGUACUAGGCAUAGUUUGGUCAGACAAAAAGGCCAACUGAUUGAUGGUGAAACGCUCUCUGGAUAUUUGUCCGUUCUGACCGUCACGAAAUGCCUAAUUUUUAAUAAUCUUUUGAAUAAUGUUUUGCUUUAAAAAAAAUUCUAAUUUGAAUUUAUAGAACCUAACUACAUUGUAAGUUCAAACGAUUCGUUCCUUGAAAGGAAAAUAGUUUACUUUGAUUUAGGCUUUGAUGGUGGCAGCCAAAAAUUAACAAAAAAAUAUCUUCCAAAAAUAAUAUUUGAAAAAGAGGUUCAUUUAUAAGUGAUCAAAUGUUGUUCAAUACGCCUGAUUUUAGCUUCGUUUUGUUACAGUCAAUAUGAAGUCAACCAAUUAGAUUCUACUCUAAAUUUUUAUUUUAUUUUUUAGGAUUCAUGUAUCAAUUGGGAGUUACAGUCUCAAAAUUAUUAAUGCAAUAAAAAUAUCUCAGAUUGAGUAAAGGUCGGGAAAAUGAGACUGGGAAAAAUAUUUUAUAAAUAUUGCUAAUAAUUGCAUUUAAAAUUAAAGAAUAUGCGGCGACUCAAUAUUUAAUUUAAUAUAUAGCAUAGAAAACUUGUAUUACUGAAAGAUUGUUUGUAAAGAAAAAAAAUAAUUGUUCAAUAAAAUACAAAAGUAAGCCGUCUGCUGCCUCUACAUCGUUUCGGGUUCAUUUCAAUUCAUUGAGUUGUUUCAUCAAAGUACUCCAGCCGUAGGAAAGAUGGUCAUUAAGAAGAUGUGCUGGCCGACAUUCGACUGUGACUUGUUCUUUUUCACUGGUACCGGUCACACUCUUGCAUUUUUUAUUAACUAAAGAUUUAAAUUUGAGAUUAGACUGCGGUGUGACAUAUUAUAUCAAAUGAGUUCAAUUAUCAAUACGUAGCUAAUUAUAUAAAUAUUCAAUUAAUUAUGUUCGCAAACUAUGAUUUCUGCAUACAAAUUUGACCGCCCCCAACUUAAAGGGUUAGGUUGGGGAGAGCAGAAGAUGCGAUCGCCCCCCUCCACCCACCCCUCCGAAUCGGCCAACAUACUAGAGGGGGCUGCAAAAUAAACAAAUUUUUUAAAAUUUCAAUAAAUAGUAUAUAUUAUUAACAUAAGUAAAGAAUUUAUAUACAGAUUGCGUGAUUUCUCUACUAAAAUUCACCCCCCAACAAGGGGAGGGCAGGCGAGUUGAUGGGACAUCCCCCCUACCGUCUCCCCCCCCCUCCACACCAUUAGAUCUGCCAGUGUCUCUCAGUGUCCUAGAGUCUCUUCUUCUAAUCUUUCCAUUUUGUCCUUGUCUUGUUGAAAGAAACAACAUGGCUGUCAGUACCGUUCUUUACACGCACAUUUCAAGUUCCUCCAAGCAAGUGGUGACUGAAUGUGAGCUCUGCCGCGCUUUAGAUGUUUUUCAGAUAUUUUUAAAGUGGAAAACAGAGCGAUUCUUUUACAUUUGAUUGCUUUAGACAAUCAAAACAAAAACAUGGCUUGAAUAUUUCUUGUGAAUAGGCGAAUCAGGUGGGGACCGACUCUUCGGUUUGUGUUAUCACACAUUUUGUAAUGUAAUGUUUCUUUUUUCUUUUCUUCCAGUAUUCCCGUAGUAUUUUUUUACGAAAAAAUAAUAAGUGUUACCAGUGGUUAAUAAACAAAAUGUAAUUCUUUUUUUUUUUAGUAUUACACAAGACUUAGUAGCUCUUUUUAUUUGCUCUUGCAAACAGGAUAUAAAGAAAUUCCUUUCUAGCUAAAAAGAGAGAAUAAAGCAUGUAACCUUGACAUGUAAAAAUUAAGGAUGUUAAUAACUUCUCAAUUUCCCUAGGUAAAUAUAAAGCUAUGUUUGGAAAGCCCUGCCAUGACAUAAGCAACAAUGUCACGUAUAUGUCACAGACAUAACUGUCAGGAUGAACAGACAUAGAAGUCAGGAGAAUGUAUUUAGACGCAUAGCUGUCGAAGAAGAAGGAGCUCAAGUAAAAGAUUAAGAGAAGUCAUCUGAAUGUGUUCUGAUAGAGACACAGUGAACACUACACAGUAGAGACACAGUGAAUAUUACACACAGGAGACACAGUGAAUAUUACACACAGGAGACACAGUGAAUAUUACACACAGGAGACACAGUGAACACUACACAGAGGAGACACAGUGAACACUACACAGUCAACUAUGAAGCUACCACUGCUCUUGUUGAUCAUUGUCUGUCUUGGGGUGAUUGGCUCAAGGGCUGAGAGUCCCUAUAUUGGCGAAUGCAGGUCGACAGAAAAGAAAUGCUCCAGUUGGAACAUCUGGGGACCGAGCCUUCUGUGGAAGACUUGUGAUGGUCGCUGCAAACAGUUGACGUUCAAUCGAGGAGUCUGUGAAGUAUCUCCAGUCAACUGCCCACUAAGUAGCCACCCCUACCAGUGUCACUGUUAUUUGAACUCGCGGUGAGAGUGCGCGAGAGAGAGAGAGAGAGAGAUGGGUUAGCCAAUGUGUUCUAACAGACAUUUGCUAUGUAGAAUUGUAUAUCUUUAUAUACGACGUUUCUGAUAUGUAUUUUCACUAUAGACAUUUACAUUUUCAUUGUUCUCUAGAUUAAAAUGUUGUACAAUAAAGAUACAUUUUAUAAAACCAAA